rnacentral:rRNA from 1 species
AGAGUUUGAUUCUGGCUCAGGAUGAACGCUGGCGGCAUGCCUAACACAUGCAAGUCGAACGGGGUUUAUAUGACGGAACUCUCCGGAGGGAAGAUAUAUAAACCUAGUGGCGGACGGGUGAGUAACGCGUGGGCAACCUGCCCUGUACCGGGGGACAACAGCCAGAAAUGGCUGCUAAUACCGCAUAAGCCUGCUGUGCCGCAUGGCACAGCAGGGAAAACCACGGUGGUACAGGAUGGGCCCGCGUCUGAUUAGUUAGUUGGCAGGGUAACGGCCUACCAAGACAACGAUCAGUAGCCGGCUUGAGAGAGUGGACGGCCACAUUGGGACUGAGACACGGCCCAGACUCCUGCGGGAGGCAGCAGUGGGGAAUAUUGCACAAUGGGGGGAACCCUGAUGCAGCAAUGCCGCGUGGGUGAAGAAGCACUCCGGUGCGUAAAGCCCUGUCAGCAGGGAAGAAAAUGACAGUACCUGGACAAGAAGCCCCGGCUAACUACGUGCCAGCAGCCGCGGUAAUACGUAGGGGGCAAGCGUUAUCCGGAUUUACUGGGUGUAAAGGGAGCGCAGGCGGCGUGGCAAGUCAGAUGUGAAAACCCGGGGCCCAACCCCGGGAGUGCAUUUGAAACUGCCAUGCUGGAGUGCCGGAAAGGUAAGCGGAAUUCCUAGUGUAGCGG